AGCUUUGCCCAAUCCGCUCCAUGCACUCGCGCCCAAUCCCAUCCUCUCCCGUCCCGCUCCACACCAGCUGCCACACAACCCUAGCCCCUUACCCAUCAAUCCCCACAGCCCCUCCCUCCUCCUCGCUCCUGGCCAUGGCCUCCACCCUAGGAGCCUCGCCACGGCCUCCUACUCCCCCUCCACCACCGUACAUGCACACAGACGGCGGUGCCGGAGAAGAGCAGCUCCAGUCAUGGUGGGGUGCGGCUGUGAUAGAGAGGAACGAGGUCCGCCGCCCGUCUUUGUCUCCUUGCUGCCCUUUGUUGCCGAUCCUCCUCUCUCCCUUCACCCCUAGCAGCAUAGCAGUCAGGGACAAGGGGAAGGAGCAGGUCGACCCGACUCUAUCUCUCUGCACGAGGACUAGAGGAGCAAGUGGCGAGGGAAGCCGUCACGGCCAGCGACGGCGCUGCACAGGGACGUCCGCCUCUGGUUUUCUGUCCUGUCUCCCGAUCCCCUUUCGUUUAGGUGUGUUCUUUUUCCUCUUUGCCUGAUUUGCUCACAUGUUUGGGGUUUCGUGCUGUAGGGAUAAGCUCUAGUGCGGGAGGUGUGGUAUAAUGCAUAGGUGUAUAAUCUUGGCUAUGAUCUAUGAUGGUGAUUUGGCUAUCAACUACUAAAUCCAUGAAUCAUUCGAAAAUGUUGAACUUGUUGUCCUGCUGUCUAGACAUGUUUUGAUUAUGCUUUUAAGCACUAUGCUUUGCUGAUUCAGUGCCAUUUAUGUGGUGAAGGAGAAUUUUUAUGUUAAAGCAUUUGGUUCUGAUGGAUCAUAUUAUUGGUUCUCUGUUCAACUGAAGAUGUCUUCACAUAGGACUAAGGUGAGUUGAGUUCUGGCUUGGUUGGAGAUGUUGAUGAGGCCCGCUGGAUUCAUCCUUUUCGAGGUUCUGAACAAGGGCAAGCUCGACAAGGUCGAGGGGUAUAUGGACCACAAAUGAUGUGAUAUACUUGGUUAUUUCAACAUGAGUACGGCUCAGCAGGAAGGUCAACCGUGGGGAAGCGCAACAUAGCGCGGCCUCAGCCAGUUAGGUGUCCUCUCUCUUUGCCCAUUGCUUCUACAAAACUCUGAUUUUGUUUGGCUUAUGAAGGCACAUUCAUCCUGCAAGUAGAAUCAUGAUUAAGAGUUAAAACGCCCCUUCACAUCGGUUUACUUUCUUACUUUGAUUGGUGUUUCUUAUGCCUUAUAUAAUAUGCCUUCUCACAUAAUAGUUUGGUAAAGAAAGAGUGAACUCACUCCUGAAUUUUUGCACUAAUUAUAUACUUAUUUCACUAUUAAUAAUGUGUAUUUUCUGUAUCCUCUCUCAUGAGUUCGUCAAGUUCCUUUCUCAACAUGCUUAGAUGCUUUUAUGUCGGAAAUUUUGUGCAACGUCAGAAGUAAUGGUCGAUCGGUUUAGCCUUUGUGUCGGUUUCAUAUGUAUAUAUGUCAUUGGCCUAGCUAACAUUGUGUGUCAGUAAUUUAUGCUUUCUUUUUUGGAAUAAUUAUGCCUAGCUGGAAAUAGAGAGGAGUUAGGUACCUGCCUGUUACUGCUCUUUUUGCUGUCUAAAGUGUUCCUUAAGCUAAACCAGUAACAUGACAGUAUUUUGUGUUUAACUAAUAUCAUUCUUAUCAUAGUGAGUACAAUAUUAUUCAGUUAACAUCCUUUUUUUGGAAGAGGCGUGAAAGUGUAGAGGGUAGAAAUGGUAAUUGAAUGGGUGUUCUCUUUUUACACAAGGAUUCUCCGCCUGAUCUUGCUAUUUAUGCAUAUCCAUAUGUCAUUGGUAUUCUUCUGAUUUGCAUUGAUUAUAGGAAGCAAGCGUACACAUGAGUUGAAAUUGUUCUAGUGAUUCCUCGAUGCUCUAUUCAUGGCUUUGUUCUUAUUUUAUCCUUCUUUCUUUGAUUUGUUCUUUCCUACAAGAAGAUGCCGAGUUGUGUAAUAUGUUCAAAGAAGAGAGAAUCUGCAUUUUAUGAAUUUUUUUCUUCUUUCUUCAUUGUUACCUUAAGUUAGUGAAUUUAGUUCAGUUUUACUAAGCAGCUUCAUACGCAUGGUCUCUCCAUCUACACAUCUUAUUCAGUCACGAGGCCAUUAAGAUCUUUCGCCUUUUAGAGAAAAGGGAGAUGCCAUUUAGACCUUAUUCUGUCCAACUUGAUCUUUAACUUGCUACUACUAUUUCUAAGUGUUUCCCAAGCACUGUUUUAUUUGCUACAGAGAAUGAGGUCACCUUAUUCAGUGAAUGUUCCAAUUAAAAAAAUAGAAACCGAGCAAUUAGUUUCACUCUUAAAUUUUGUAUAGUAGUUCAGAUUAUCCAAUAAAUCAUUUGUCAAUAGGGUCAAAUUAUUUAAGUUGAAUCAGUUUUCCAGAUUACCCAGUUCAAAUGUUGUACGACACAGCAAAGUUGUUCCAUUCUUAGAUGUUGAGCCAAAAUAUCCUUUAUCUGGAACCAUUUACGUAAAUAACUAACAUUAAAAGAAACAACUUUACUUAAGGUCAGCGCAUUCAAGAAUUUGUCAUUAAAUCAUUUGUUCACCAGUUCUUAAUUACUUGAGAUAUUGUGAUAAACUUAUAUUAUUGCUUACUAUAUAUGUCUUGAUGAUGCCUGCAGGCUUGUUACAAGCUCAGCUGGAUCAAAUAGUGGGCCUUCUAUAUAUAUCUUCAGCUGUUCAUUGCUUACUAUAUGUAUCUUCCUGUCGACCAGAAAAAACAAUACAUCGAUUCUUUGCCUCCUUAUUUCUUGCUCAGAUCCCAUGAUACAACCUCGGUGGCUGGCCAGCGACUAACAGGUAAUUUCUCUUCCAAUUUGAUGAUGAUGGAUGAGAAUCAGUUCUAUGAUUGUAGCUUAUAAAAACAAAUGUUGGAUGUCCCUUAUGUGAUGUACUUUGUUGUCAUGAUAGAUACAAUUGCUGAUUAGUAGGUGCUCACCUCUGAAUCCUUCUUUAACCGAUUUACAUUGGAGUUUGUACAAAGGAGACUAUAAUUUUUUAUAUUCGUUCAAGCAUGGAUUCCCUCUUUAGCCUAUGUACGUUCUAGAAAUAGGUACACACCUUGGAGAAACUUGAGAGCUACUCCCUCCGUUCCGAAUUACUUGUCUUGGAUUUGUCUAGAUACGGAUGUAUCUAGCAGUCUAGAUACAUCCGUAUCUAGACAAAUCCAAGACAAGUAAUUCGGAACGGAGGGAGUAAUAAAUAGUGUAAAUAGUGCUAAGCAAUUACUCUGAUUGUCAUUCUAUGCUAUCAUCACAACACAGGUCAAUAGACAGUCAACAAAUGUGUAAUCAGCUUUCCCUGGGUACUGCAUCAUCUACUAAUAAUCAAAUUUUAUAGCAAACGUCUUAUAAAUUAGCAUAUCUAUUUCUCUAGUUGGAUAGCUUUUAUUGUGACUACAAAGAAUAUAGUUUGAGGAUGGCAUGUCAGUUCUUCUUUGUCUUACGUACUUCCUCCAUUCCAAAAUAUAGUGCGCCCGCGGCUUCCCGAGGUCCAACUUUGACCAUAUAUUUAACCAACUAGACCGACUUCGGCAGGAGAAAAAUUAUAUAAUUGAAAACUUCUUUUGAAUAUGAAUUCACUAGUAUAACUUUUGCUCCCACCGCAAUCGGUCCCAUUGGUUCAAUUUAUGGUCAAAGUUGAAGCAUGGGAAUAGAGGAAGCACUAUAUUUUGGAACGGAGGGAGUAUGAAGUAAUUUCUAAAAUGUCUUAGGCUUCCCUAUAACUAUAAAUUGAUGGCAUGUCAUUAAAACCUACACAGUGCACCACCGAUGGUGAAAAUACCUCACAGGAUGAUGUUGGACAUUCUUAUACAAACUUCAGGCCUACUGGUGGCUGAAUCGAAGUAAAAUGUGAUAGUGGCAUGAUGAGACCAUGUCAGAAUUCUUGUUGCUAUGGAAGCAAAAGGAUUCAUGAAACCCACGGUGAAAACAGAGAAAAGAUACUACAAUUACAGUAGCAUGGAGAAACCGAGGACACGAAAUGAGUCUGAAGAAUGCUAUGGCUGAUUCGUUCUAGCUAGGUACAUGCAAGCUUCUCUUACAUAUAUGCAACGUAACAACGUGAAUGACUAGAACUAUUGUGAUGUUGCUCUAUUGUAAUUCACGUUGUAAUUCAAGAGUUGUGUAUCAGUGACCGCAUACACAAGACAAUCUUGAAUAUUUUGUUGGGUCUA